rnacentral:rRNA from 1 species
AACUCCGUGCCAGCAGUCCGCGGUAAUACGGAGGGUGCGAGCGUUUAAUCGGAAUUACUGGGCGUUAAAGCGCAUGCAGGUGGUUUGUUAAGUCAGAUGUGAAAGCCCGGGGCUCAACCUCGGAAUUGCAUUUGAAACUGGCAAACUAGAGUACUGUAGAGGGGGUAGAAUUUCAGGUGUAGCGGUGAAAUGCGUAGAGAUCUGAAGGAAUACCGGUGGCGAAGGCGGCCCCCCUGGACAGAUACUGACACUCAGAUGCGAAAGCGUGGGGAGCAAACAGGAUUAGAUACCCUGGUAG